rnacentral:lncRNA from 1 species
AAUCCUGUCGCAAUCGUACUGGUCACAUUGUUAGCAGUUGGGAUAAUACGUGGUGGUAUAUUCUGGGCAAUUAAAAUAAGAAAAUGUGGAGCCGGCAAGCAAAGAGAAGAAGACCAACAUUAUGCUGAAGUGAAAUUUCAUACAUUGGUUGGGUAUAUACUGGUAUCUGGCACCGGAGGAGUCUGUUCACCAGAAGAGUCUGUUUUAUACUCAGAUGUCAGAAUCUUACCUUCUGUUCAGACAGGACUAGAUUCAAUCACUCCUCUCUCAAAGCUGUGACCUUGGCGUGGUUAAGAGGCUUGUGUUUCUCAAUGACCCUGAGAG